UACGAAGGGGCUAGCGUUAUUCGGAAUUACUGGGCGUAAAGCGUACGUAGGCGGCUUUGCAAGUUAGAGGUGAAAGCCUGGAGCUCAACUCCAGAACUGCCUUUAAAACUGCAUCGCUUGAAUCCAGGAGAGGUGAGUGGAAUUCCGAGUGUAGAGGUGAAAUUCGUAGAUAUUCGGAAGAACACCAGUGGCGGAAGGCGGCUCACUGGACUGGUAUUGACGCUGAGGUACGG
rnacentral:rRNA from 1 species